CGGGUGCACUGAUCCAGCCGGGCCUUUCCCUCUGUGGAACCCCAUGGCCUUCACUGGCUGUGGUGGGGAAACAGGACUUUUACUUUGAAAAAAUUAGAGUGCUCCAGGCAGGCCUAUGCUCGAAUACAUUAGCAUGGAAUAAUAGAAUAGGACGUGUGGUUCUAUUUUGUUGGUUUCUAGGACCGCCGUAAUGAUUAAUAGGGACAGUCGGGGGCAUCAGUAUUCAAUUGUCAGAGGUGAAAUUCUUGGAUCUAUUGAAGACUAACUACUGCGAAAGCAUUUGCCAAGGAUGUUUUCAUUGAUAAGGAACGAAAGUUAGGGGAUCGAAGACGAUCAGAUACCGUCGUAGUCUUAACUAUAAACUAUGCCGACUAGGGAUCGGACGAUGUUAUUCUUUGACGCGUUCGGCACCUUUCGAGAAAUCAAAGUGCUUGGGCUCCAGGGGGAGUAUGGUCGCAAGGCUGAAACUUAAAGAAAUUGACGGAAGGGCACCACCAGGGGUGGAACCUGCGGCUUAAUUUGACUCAACACGGGGAAACUCACCAGGUCCAGACACAGUGAGGAUUGACAGAUUGAGAGCUCUUUCUUGAUUCUGUGGGUGGUGGUGCAUGGCCGUUCUUAGUUGGUGGAGUGAUUUGUCUGCUUAAUUGCGAUAACGAACGAGACCUUAACCUGCUAAAUAGCCCGUACUGCUUUGGCAGUCCGCCGGCUUCUUAGAGGGACUAUCGG
rnacentral:rRNA from 1 species